CGCCCCGUGAACGAUGAAGGUCUUCGGAUCGUAAAGUUCUGUUGUUAGGGAAGAACAAGUACCGUGCGAAUAGCGGUACCUUGACGGUACCUAACGAGGAAGCCCCGGCUAACUACGUGCCAGCAGCCGCGGUAAUACGUAGGGCAAGCGUUGUCCGGAAUUAUUGGGCGUAAAGCGCGCGCAGGCGGUUCCUUAAGUCUGAUGUGAAAGCCCACGGCUCAACCGUGGAGGGUCAUUGGAAACUGGGGAACUUGAGGACAGAAGAGGAGAGUGGAAUUCCACGUGUAGCGGUGUAAUGCGUAGAUAUGUGGAGGAACACCAGUGGCGAAGGCGACUCUCUGGUCUGUUUCUGACGCUGAGGUGCGAAAGCGUGGGUAGCAAACAGGAUUAGAUACCCUGGUAGUCCACGCCGUAAACGAUGAGUGCUAGGUGUUAGGGGGCUUCCACCCCUUUGCUGAAGUUAACGCAUUAAGCACUCCGC
rnacentral:rRNA from 1 species